ensembl:lncRNA
CUGCUGGGCACACACUGUGGCCCAGAGGGAGUCGCCUUUGUCUAGCAGGUCAAAGAACACAGCCUGCUGCCCACGGAGUCCUUUGUCACCUGUGGUCACCGCUCCACAUUCUCUGUCCCCACCUGGCAACCUUCCUCUUCUGCUUUAUUAAUGAGUACAAGAGCUACCCACUGAAACAUUACUCACUCAAGGGCAAAGCUAUUCAUCUGUUUUGUUUAACCUCAUACUUGGUUCUGAACAGAGACACUCAAUAAAAAUUUGUGGAAUAAAUCCUGUCUUUUCUUACCCUGCAGAAGCUUGAGUUUGGUAAGUUGCUGUUAUUCAGUUGCUCAGUCAUGUCCGACUCUUUGUGACCCCAUGGACUGCAGCACGCCAGGUUUCCCUGUUUUUCACCAUCUCCCAGAGCUUGCUCAAACUCAUGUCCAUUGAAUCAGUGAUGCCAUCCAACCAUCUCAUCCUCUGUUGUCCCCUUCUCCUCCUGGUAAGUUAUGUUUAUGAUAACCAUGGGACUGCUGGUUAUGUCCUCUUGUCUACUUUUAGCAAAUCAAAGCUGAUUACAUGCAGCCAUACCUCAGUUAGUUUCAAAUAGAGUAAGAAGCAGCCACUCUCAAAGCUCAUGUAAGACAUCUAAUAUUUGAGAAAUUUAUUGGCAUUGGCAACCACCCUCUCAUUAAGUUCUGUUCUAAACUAAGCCAGAUCAUCAGGAAAUAAUACAAAAAUCACAUCUACUGAAUCCCUGUGAGAAUUUGGUUUAUUUAGUUAUGAUUAACCCUUGGCCUCUGUUUUAUCACAGGAUCACUCAAUGGGGCAAGAGAAAAUACAUGUACUAGAUAUUAUUCAUCUUACCAUACUAACAGUACA